rnacentral:rRNA from 1 species
GACGAACGCUGGCGGCGUGCUUAACACAUGCAAGUCGAACGCUGAAGCUCAGCUUUUGUUGGGUGGAUGAGUGGCGAACGGGUGAGUAACACGUGAGUAACCUGCCCCCUUCUUUGGGAUAACGCCCGGAAACGGGUGCUAAUACUGGAUAUUCACUGGUCUUCGCAUGGGGGUUGGUGGAAAGGGUUUUUCUGGUGGGGGAUGGGCUCGCGGCCUAUCAGCUUGUUGGUGGGGUGAUGGCCUACCAAGGCUUUGACGGGUAGCCGGCCUGAGAGGGUGACCGGUCACAUUGGGACGGAGAUACGGCCCAGACUCCUACGGGAGGCAGCAGUGGGGAAGAUUGCACAAUGGGCGAAAGCCUGAUGCAGCGACGCCGCGUGAGGGAUGGAGGCCUUCGGGUUGUGAACCUCUUUCGCUCAUGGUCAAGCCGCAACAAUGGUUGUGGUGAGGGUAGUGGGUAAAGAAGCGCCGGCUAACUACGUG